CCGACUAAGCCACCCAGGCGCCCCGGUUGCUGGUUUUCUUGAGUGUUGGAGGCAGAUGACAGAUGGCAGUGUGCUGAGGAGAGAAUGGGAGGUACUUCCCUGAUGACAACAUUGCCCUGGGAGCACUUCCUAAAGGGAACAGAGAACCGUGCAGAGACAGAGACCUGGUGAGUGGCAGAGAGGAAGGAAGCUGGCAUAGUGCUCUCUCUCAUGCCCUACAAUGGCUCCCCACAACUCAUCAACUGACCAUUAUUGGGCUCCCAACUCUGAACUUCAAGACAUUUGGAAAAUGUUCAUAAACAUGUUCAGAAUCCCCUGGUGUGAGUAAAACAUUUGUAUAAGAUUGUAAAGUAAAGAAAACUGGCACACA